ensembl:lncRNA
GAUUCAAUAAGGAUCUACAAUUCUAUAAAAAGGAAUGACAUGGAGAUUCUAAGAGAGGCUUUCCAAAAACAUGGGUCACUGGACGGCUGGACUGUUUGGAAUCCAGAACAGUGGAAGCAAGACUGUGUGAACUGUGGGGUAUUUGUGUGCACUGCAGCAGAAAUGGAAGCAAAAAAUAUGAAAAUGUCAUCUGAAGUGCUUCAAACAUGUCAGCUAGUACACCUAUGUGUUUACCAUGCCACAAGCAUGUUGAAAGAUGUGACAACUGAAGACUUUCCGACUGCAAUUGGAGAAACAGAGGAAAGCGAAAUAGAGACCA